CAUCACCAUGGGCAGCUGAGUAUGACUAUUUUAGAUUUCAUGUUUCAGUGGGAUCAUACAGAUAUUGAGGAUUUGGACAAGGGAGAUUAUCCCAAGUUAUCCAGGGGGCCCAGUGUGAUCACAAAGUUCCUCAUGAGGGCUAGGAUAUAGCUCAGUUGGUAGAGUGCUUGCCUCGCAGACACAAGGCCUGGGUUCAAUCCCCAGCAACACACACACACACACACACACACAUAUACAUACACACACAAGCUCCUCAUGAGAGUCAGGUGUGGAUGCCUAUGGUCCCAGCUGCUUGUGAGGCUGAGGCAGGGGCCCAGAAGUUUGGGGGCAGUUGGGCAACAUAGUAAGACCUCAUCUCUCAAAAACUAAACAUAUAAAAAUUAAAAUGUAGAUGGGUAUGGUGGCACAUGUCUAUAAUCCCAACAGCUUGGGAGGCUGGACAGGAGGAUGGCAAUUUCAAGGCCAGCCUCAGCAACUUAUUGAGGUCCUGUCUCAAAAAAAAAAUUUUUUUAAAAAGGACUGAGGAUGUGGCUCAGUGGUUAUGCACCCCUACGUUCAAUUUCCAGUACCAAAAAAAUUAAUUUAAUUUAAAAAGGUCCUCAUCAGGCUCAGUGGUGCACUCCUAUAACCUCAAGAAGCUGGGGCAGGAGAAUCACACAUUCCAAGCCAGCCUCAGUAACUUAACAAAGUCCUCAGAAAUUAUCAAGACCAUCUCAAAAUAAAAAUUAAAAAAAAAAAUUAAAAGGGCUGGGAAUGUAACUUGGUGGUUUAGUACCCUGGGUUCAGUCCCUGGUACUGUUGGGUUAGUUAGCCAUGAAUAGAUAGGUAGAUGGAAAGGGCAAUGAAGGACAGACAUCAGGCCUAUACACCAAGAAAAAUUCGGGAGUCACAAAACUGAAACUGUGGGGAACCUUAUCUAAAUAGGCAAGCUUUGGGGAAUGAGAUAUUCAAUGCCUAACUUACCCCAAGGUGUAGAGAAAAUCCCUUGAGGGAAUUAUUAUUUAAAGUCCUGGGGACCCUAACUAAAACAGAUAAGCAUCAGAGAAGUUAUCUGGUACCUCAAGGUACCCCCCUAGCUACAGCUAAUUAUAACCCCACAAGGGGCACCAUGAUUUCCAGAAAAAUGCCAUCACUGUCUCUUGCAACCAACCCUCCCUUAUUACCAAAACUGUCACAAUCACACUGUCAACCAGAAUACCAAGACCCUCCCAAAGAAAGCUUGCUGAUGGCUAUCCAAAGGAAAUAAACCAAUGGAGGAGGAAUAGGGAAACUGAGGCAAGAACAAAGGACUCCGUUUCCUUAAAAAUCCAGCCUCACCGUCCUCUCUUGAAGGCAGUCCCCGCAGUCCCCAUGCUAUACAUUCCACUCGCUUCUCACUCCAUUAAACUUUUGCUUACUACUCUGUGUCUCACUCAAAAUCUUUCCCGCAGAGUCACCAGAACCAGCACCUAAGGAUUGCAGUGGCUGCCCCUGCUCUGCCCAGCUGCACAACAGUACCCAAAAAUAAAUAAAAAUUUCAAAAAAUAAGAAAGGAUCCUUAAAAGAGGGUCAGAGUGAGCAAAGGCAAUGUAAUGACAGGAGCACAGAUAAGAGGGAAGAGAGAGAGAGAGAGAGAGAGAGAGAACGCAAGCAAGCGCACGUCUUGGAAGAGAUGUGCUACCUUUGAAGGCAGAAGAAGGGGCCAUAAGCCAAGGAAAGCAGGAAGCCUCUAGAAGCUGGAAUAGACAAGGCAAUAGGUUCUCCCCUCAAAGCCCCCAGAAGGAUCUGACCUGGCAACCCCUUAAAUUUAGCCCAGUGAGACUGGUUUUGGAUUUCUCACCUCCAGAACUAUAAAAAUAAUACAUGUGAGUUGUUUGAAGGCACUAAAUCUAUGUUAGUUUGUUAUAACAGCCAUGGGAAACCAAUACACAAACCUCUUGAACACAAUUCUGUAAGAUUCGUUAGAAUGAUGCUGUGAUCGGGAUGCAUAUUCCCCUUCCCCACAAAUUCACAUAUGGAAGUCCUAAUCUAUAAAAUUAUGGUUUUAGAAAGUGUGGCUGUGAGAGGUGGUUAGGUUAUGUGGGUGGGACCCUCGUGAAUAAGAUUGGUGCCCUUAUAAAAGACCUUAGCGAGCUAUCUCAUCCCUUCCACCUUGUAAAGACAGUUACAAAGUGCUGUCUAUGAGCCAGAAAGCUGUCCUGACCAGACACCACAUCAUGGCACCCUGACCUUGGACUUCCAGUCUCCACAACUUUUGCUUAGGAGCCACUCAGUCUAUAGGACAUUUGGUUAUUACAGCCUGGAUGCACUAAGGCAUCCUUCUUUUGUUUUCUCCACUUUCCAACUUUUAAAAAAUGUGGUAAGGGGCUGGGGAUGUGGCUCAAGCGGUAGCGCGCUCGCCUGGCAUGCGUGCGGCCCGGGUUCGAUCCUCAGCACCACAUACAAACAAAGAUGUUGUGUCC
rnacentral:lncRNA from 1 species